AAUAGAGUAGCUUGUCGAGAUAAGG
rnacentral:piRNA from 1 species